GGACAUGCUGAGUGGGCUCUGGGCCCUCCGCACGCCGGCUCUUCUCCUCUUCCUGUGCUAGUUAGCUAUGGCGGCCGUGAAGACCCUGAACCCCAAGGCCGAGGUGGCCCGAGCCCAGGCUGCGCUGGCGGUGAACAUCAGCGCGGCCCGGGGCCUGCAGGACGUGCUGAGGACCAACUUGGGGCCUAAGGGCACCAUGAAGAUGCUUGUUUCUGGUGCUGGAGACAUCAAGCUUACUAAAGAUGGCAACGUGCUGCUUCAUGAAAUGCAAAUUCAACACCCAACAGCCUCCUUAAUAGCCAAAGUAGCAACAGCCCAAGAUGACAUAACUGGUGAUGGUACCACUUCCAAUGUUCUAAUCAUUGGAGAGCUACUGAAACAGGCGGAUCUCUACAUUUCUGAAGGUCUUCAUCCCAGAAUAAUAACAGAAGGAUUUGAAGCUGCAAAGGAAAAGGCACUUCAGUUUUUGGAACAAGUCAAAGUAAGCAAAGAAAUGGACAGGGAAACACUUAUAGAUGUGGCCAGAACAUCUCUACGUACUAAAGUCCAUGCUGAACUUGCUGAUGUCUUAACAGAGGCCGUAGUGGACUCCAUUUUGGCCAUUAAAAAACAAGAUGAACCUAUUGAUCUCUUCAUGGUUGAGAUCAUGGAGAUGAAACAUAAAUCUGAAACUGAUACAAGCUUAAUCAGAGGUCUUGUUUUGGACCAUGGGGCACGGCAUCCGGAUAUGAAAAAAAGAGUAGAAGAUGCAUACAUCCUCACAUGCAAUGUGUCAUUGGAAUAUGAGAAAACAGAAGUGAAUUCUGGCUUUUUUUUACAAGAGUGCAGAAGAGAGAGAGAAACUUGUAAAAGCUGAAAGAAAAUUCAUUGAAGAUAGAGUUAAAAAAAUAAUAGAACUGAAAAAGAAAGUCUGUGGUGAUUCAGAUAAAGGAUUCGUUGUUAUUAAUCAAAAGGGAAUUGACCCCUUUUCCUUAGAUGCUCUUGCAAAAGAAGGUAUAGUAGCUCUGCGUAGAGCUAAAAGGAGAAAUAUGGAAAGGCUGACUCUUGCUUGUGGUGGAGUAGCUCUAAAUUCCUUUGAUGACCUAAAUCCUGAUUGUUUGGGAUAUGCAGGACUUGUCUAUGAACAUACAUUGGGAGAAGAGAAAUUCACUUUUAUUGAGAAAUGUAACAAUCCUCGCUCUGUCACAUUAUUGAUCAAAGGACCAAAUAAGCACACACUCACUCAAAUCAAAGAUGCAAUAAGAGAUGGCUUGAGGGCUGUUAAAAAUGCUAUUGAUGAUGGUUGUGUAGUUCCGGGUGCAGGUGCAGUGGAAGUGGCAAUGGCAGAAGCCUUGAUUAAGUACAAGCCCAGUGUAAAGGGCAGGGCCCAACUGGGAGUUCAAGCGUUUGCUGAUGCAUUACUCAUUAUUCCCAAGGUACUUGCUCAGAACUCUGGUUUUGACCUUCAGGAAACACUAGUUAAAGUUCAAGCGGAACAUUCAGAAUCAGGUCAACUUGUGGGUGUGGACUUAAACACAGGUGAGCCAAUGGUAGCAGCCGAAGUAGGCAUAUGGGAUAACUAUUGUGUAAAGAAACAGCUUCUCCACUCCUGCACUGUGAUUGCCACCAACAUACUCCUGGUUGAUGAGAUCAUGCGAGCUGGAAUGUCUUCUCUAAAAGGUUGAAUUUGAAGCUUCCCUCGUGUCAUCUGAAUCAUGAAGACUCCACGAGUGAUCCUAAGAAUAUAGCGAUGGAAUUUUUGUCCAAGCCUCAAAUAAUUUUCAAAAGCAUUUUCUUUUCCCAUAUGAAAAAAAGAGAACACUGACACCUAAAAUUCUGAAGUUCUGAAAUUAGUGUUUUUUUAAAUUGCACUGCAAUGUACACACAUUAAGCAGGCCGUUUUUACCCAAUGAAAAGGAUGUUUUGCUUUAGCUUCAGUGAUAUAAAAGUCCCGUGUGAGAUAAGUAUAUGUUAUCCACCUUGUUA